UUACCAUCCUAUUUCUUCAUCUUUUUCCCUCGAUAUGAAGAAACCCUAAAUCAUUCUUCCUCACAAUCUAAGUCGUUCCUCUCAUCUCUCAAGGCGAUUCUUUAUCUUCCAAUAUUCCCUUCAUCAUCAUUGUGUGUUCUUGCACCUCUUGAUUUUCUUCAAGGUAAAGUGACGGCUCUUCUCUCAAACCCUAAUCCUCAAUUUUGCUUCAACCAUCCGCAGUCCAAAAGCCUACAAUCAUCAGUUUGUACAAGAUAGCUCUUAAAUUUGAGGCAAAGGCAGCAGUUAUGGUCUUCCAUAGUCCAUAUGAAUGGCAAUUUUACAGUAUGUUUUUGUUUUUUUAUCUCUCACGGUCAUGUUAAAUGUAGUUUUCAUUUGAAAUUAGAAGUAAGUCAGUAACAUUGAUGUUCCUUUUUUGUGAAACAACACACUAGGUGGCAGUCAUGUGGUGCCUAACGUACACUAAUAAAGAAAACAAGGAAAAUACUAUGUAAUGGUAUGGUAGUAACUUUCUUUUGCGUCUGUAUGAAACAUAGUUGUCGAUAGCGAAUAGCGACAAGGCAUGGCUAGGCUACGUAGCGAAUAGCGACGGCUAUUUUAUAAAUAGCGAUUACACUAGAAAAAGAUUUUUGAAAAUUUUUAUAUGUAUAUUACAUCAAAUUACCCUUGUAUAUAUGUUAUUUUACAUGUAUAUUUAACAAAAACUAAUAGUUAGUAGCAAAGGACUUAUAUGUUGGGUGUGUGAAUGAAAGUCUCAAAAGGUGGUAAAUACUUUGUCCCACAUCGGUGUGUUAACAAAGUUAGUGGUUGUUUAUAAGGUAAAGUCUUUACUACUCCAUUGUAGCUUUAUGACAUGUUUUACCACAAGUCCUACCCGCGCGCAGGGGUGGUGCAAAAAAUGAGUUUCUGAAUUGAAAUUUAACUGAACUCGUGCAUGCCCACACGAAUGCAGCUCCGAAAACCCCAGGCUCGCGUGGGCCAGUUUUUGCACAAUUUAACCUCUUUAUUUAUUUAUUUUUUGUAUUAAAGCCAAGGCCGUCAUCGCCAUUAACAGCUUAGCGACACUUGGACGCUUCGCCAUAAAGCGCGCUAUAGCGACUGCUAUGGUCGCAAUUAACAACUAUGGUAUGAAAAGCGAUACAACAUCAUAAAAAUAUGUUGUCUUUAUGUCUCUCACUCUUACAGGUCGUGGACACGCUUGGACCUAGCUUAUGGGACGUAUGGAAUUCUUUUGGGCAAUUGUGAGUCCUUAAGGUAGAACCGUUAAAAUCUCUCUCUCUCUCUCUCUCUCUCUCUCUCUUUCUUAUGUUAGUUGGUUUUAGUCCUUGCUCCUUUAUUUUGCUUUGACCUGGGUAUUUUGUUUGUCGACUCACAAAAUUAUGCAUAUUAAAAUGACAAAUUAACUUUAAAAUGGUUGGAUAGCAUCAACAUAGAUUCCCAAGACUGCAAGAAAGACUACAAAAUGUUUCCACCUUCAGUAAAUUUGGAUAAUAUUGAUUGGUCUACAACGAGGCUGCAAAUCGAUUUCCCUGUCCUGGUGGGCGUUACUAUGAAGGUUAGCACUAUUCAACUGGUCCCUUAGAAAUGUUGUUUUUGACACAAGUGGAUCCUAAAUUGGAACAAUAGCAAAGAUCUCAUCAUUUCUUUGUAAUUAUUUAAUGAUAUGAGUAUUCUACUACUCUAUAAUAAGUGGGAGUGAGGUUAGCAAAACAAGAUGGUGAUGGCGAUGGUCACUGGCGGAUACCACAUAUAGUAAAUUAUUAUUUUACAGUAAUAUUUUUUACUGUUCUAUGAAGUUGUUUUAAAUUUACAUUCUAAUAUUAUUAACAUUUUCAUUUUAUUAUGUAAUAAUGGCUCUCUAAACACAUCGUGUGAUUAAGUUAAUGAAAAGUUUGCAAGUCUUCUUAUAGCGAAGAC
rnacentral:lncRNA from 1 species